rnacentral:rRNA from 1 species
UACGUAGGGGGCAAGCGUUGUCCGGAUUUAUUGGGCGUAAAGAGCGUGUAGGCGGCCAUACAGGUCAGCUGUGAAAACUCGAGGCUCAACCUCGAGACGUCGGUUGAAACCGUAUGGCUAGAGUCCGGAAGAGGAGAGUGGAAUUCCCGGUGUAGCGGUGAAAUGCGCAGAUAUCGGGAAGAACACCCGUGGCGAAGGCGGCUCUCUGGGACGGUACUGACGCUGAGACGCGAAAGCGUGGGGAGCGAAC